GCCAGAGGGUGCAAACGUUGUUCGGAAUUACUGGGCGUAAAGCGCGUGUAGGCGGCUCGAUAAGUCGGAUGUGAAAGCCCUGGGCUCAACCUAGGAAGUGCAUUCGAAACUGCUGAGCUUGAGUUCUGGAGAGGAAGGUGGAAUGCUUGGUGUAGAGGUGAAAUUCGUAGAUAUCAAGCGGAACACCGGUGGCGAAGGCGGCCUUCUGGACGAUGACUGACGCUGAGACGCGAAAGCGUGGGGAGCAAACAGG
rnacentral:rRNA from 1 species